rnacentral:rRNA from 1 species
UUGGAGGGCAAGUCUGGUGCCAGCAGCCGCGGUAAUUCCAGCUCCAAUAGCGUAUAUUAGAGUUGUUGCAGUUAAAAAGCUCGUAGUUGAAUUUCGGGAUCAAUUUAUCGGUCGUGCCAAUGGUAUGAACUGGUACAAUUGGUUUCUCCCUUCUGACGAAGCAUGAUGUCAUUAAUUUGGUGUCGUGGGGAAUCAGGACUGUUACUUUGAAAAAAUUAGAGUGUUUAAAGCAAGCAUUAGCUUGAAUACAUUAGCAUGGAAUAAUGAAAUAGGACGUUUGAUCCUAUUUCGUUGGUUUCUAGGAUCGACGUAAUGAUUAAUAGGGAUAGUUGGGGGCAUUAGUAUUCAAUUGUCAGAGGUGAAAUUCUUGGAUUUAUUGAAGACUAACUACUGCGAAAGCAUUUGCCAAGGAUGUUUUCAUUAAUCAAGAACGAAAGUUAGGGGAUCGAAGACGAUCAGAUACCGUCGUAGUCUUAACCAUAAACUAUGCCGACUAGGGAUCGGAUGAUGUUAAUUUUUUAAUGACUCAUUCGGCGCCUUACGGGAAAC